AGAGUUUGAUCCUGGCUCAGGACGAACGCUGGCGGCGCGCCUAACACAUGCAAGUCGAACGGGGAAGUUAGCAAUAACUUCUUAGUGGCGAACGGGUGAGUAACGCGUGGACAACCAACCUUCUGGUGGGGGACAACACUUCGAAAGGAGUGCUAAUACCGCAUGAGCUCUUGAGGCCGCAUGGUUUUAAGAGGAAAGGAGCUUCGGCUCCGCGAGAAGACGGGUCCGCGUCUGAUUAGCUAGUUGGAGGGGUAACGGCCCACCAAGGCAACGAUCAGUAGCCGGUCUGAGAGGAUGAACGGCCACACUGGGACUGAGACACGGCCCAGACUCCUACGGGAGGCAGCAGUGGGGAAUCUUCCGCAAUGGACGAAAGUCUGACGGAGCGACGCCGCGUGAGUGAUGAAGGCCUUCGGGUCGUAAAGCUCUGUCAUCGGGGACGAACGGCCUCAGCAGGUAAUGGCUGGGGAUUGACGGUACCCGAGAAGGAAGCCACGGCUAACUACGUGCCAGCAGCCGCGGUAAU
rnacentral:rRNA from 1 species